UAGCACAGCUAACUUUUCCGUUAGCAGUACCACCACUGCGUAUAGGAAUCAAACAGGAAGGACAUGACUGCGAAUUAUCAUGUCGACGAAACAAAGAAAGCUGGAAAAAGUACAAAGAUGCUGAAAGGGUUACACUCCCUCCUCACCAUUCCAUCCCAUCGUUUCCAUGCAGAAAAGCAGAGGCAGAUUGCUACAGCACUCUGCUCCCUCCACACACAGCGUGCCGUCAGCUGGCAGACGGAGGAAGAAAGGGGGGGGAAAUGCUCACUGAAUGGAAGAUCCACCCAGCCUCGUCGGGCAGCUGAUGGCUUGUGUUCACACUGAAAACAAGCGAAUGCUGACAGAAAAUGCAAGCAGCCUUCUUACCUUCUCUUCUCU